CCUACGGGGGGCUGCAGUGAGGAAUAUUGGUCAAUGGGCGAGAGCCUGAACCAGCCAAGUCGCGUGAGGGAGUACUGCCCUAUGGGUUGUAAACCUCUUUUGUCGGGGAGCAAAAGCCGGACGUGUCCGGCUGUGAGAGUACCCGAAGAAAAAGCAUCGGCUAACUCCGUGCCAGCAGCCGCGGUAAUACGUAGGGAGCGAGCGUUGUCCGGAAUUACUGGGUGUAAAGGGAGCGUAGGCGGGCGAGAAAGUUGAAUGUUAAAUCUACCGGCUUAACUGGUAGCUGCGUUCAAAACUUCUUGUCUUGAGUGAAGUAGAGGCAGGCGGAAUUCCUAGUGUAGCGGUGAAAUGCGUAGAUAUUAGGAGGAACACCAGUGGCGAAGGCGGCCUGCUGGGCUUUAACUGACGCUGAGGCUCGAAAGCGUGGGGAGCAAACAGGAUUAGAUACCCUAGUAGUC
rnacentral:rRNA from 1 species